GACAGAGGGUGCAGACGUUGUCCGGAAUUACUGGGCGUAAAGCGCGUGUAGGCGGUUUGGUAAGUCGGAUGUGAAAGCCCCGGGCUCAACCCGGGAAGUGCACUCGAUACUGCCAAGCUAGAGUAUCGGAGAGGUUGGUGGAAUUCUCGGUGUAGAGGUGAAAUUCGUAGAUAUCGAGAGGAACACCGGUGGCGAAGGCGGCCAACUGGACGAAUACUGACGCUGAGACUCGAAAGCGUGGGGAGCAAACAGG
rnacentral:rRNA from 1 species